rnacentral:ncRNA from 1 species
CACAACGGGGUGCCUUUGUUAAGGCUGAGAUCAUACCCGAGGAACCUGUACGGAUAAUGCCGGCGUAGGGAAUAACGUUUG